ACACUCCUACGGGAGGCAGCAGUGGGGAAUUUUGGACAAUGGGGGCAACCCUGAUCCAGCAAUGCCGCGUGAGUGAAGAAGGCCUUCGGGUUGUAAAGCUCUUUUGUCAGGGAAGAAACGGUAGUAGCGAAUAACUAUUACUAAUGACGGUACCUGAAGAAUAAGCACCGGCUAACUACGUGCCAGCAGCCGCGGUAAUACGUAGGGUGCAAGCGUUAAUCGGAAUUACUGGGCGUAAAGCGUGCGCAGGCGGUUGUGUAAGUCAGAUGUGAAAUCCCCGGGCUCAACCUGGGAAUUGCAUUUGAGACUGCACGGCUAGAGUGUGUCAGAGGGGGGUAGAAUUCCACGUGUAGCAGUGAAAUGCGUAGAUAUGUGGAGGAAUACCGAUGGCGAAGGCAGCCCCCUGGGAUAACACUGACGCUCAUGCACGAAAGCGUGGGGAGCAAACAGGAUUAGAAACCCCUGUAGUCCCAUG
rnacentral:rRNA from 1 species